CCCCUCUCAGGAUUGCACCUGGAGAGUUUCCAGUACUUUACCAGUCCCAACUAUGGGAGAGAGAGUGAAGCAGAGGCUUACCCAUUCCAUUCCUAGCUUGGGCAGUGACUAGAGAGUGAAAGACAAUCUGCUAUAACU